UCCUUGAAACAAAAAUAUUUCCACCAAUGGCAGAACGCAGUACUCCUGUGCCUUCCUCUUGAAGCCUGAAAAGUGCUUUUUCUUCACACUGGGAGGGGGAAGGGACCUUCCUGACAUUGGCCUAUAUUACUCAGGAUGUAGCUCAAGAUCCAGAAGAUGGGCCUCCUGGUUAUACGAAAUCAGGACAUGGUGUGAACACUGAUCAGCCAGGGACUGACACAAAGUGGUCCCCAAAGAAGGAAGAUUGGACAGAAACAAGAGGCAACUGAGAAGAGCCACAUUUUUAGUGAAAUUCCACUUUGAUAAACCCUCUGGAAGAAAUCGUUUUUUACAAAGAACUUGGACUUGUUCAGGUAUCCCCCAGGCUUCCACACACCCCAGGAGACAUGGGAAGCUGACCCCCCACUCCACAGUUCGCAGGAGUGAGCCUGCUUUAAUAAGGAUCAUCUUGUUCCUGCAGAGGAGAGCCUACACUGGCAGUAGAGAUAAAGUGGCUUUCAUUGGAAACUCUGGCCGGACAACGAAAUGAAGAACACCGGGAAGCAGGGGAACAGACCAGGGCUCUCAGAGCUUAGCAGGGAGACAUUACAAAAGCCACAGAAGAGAUGGCAGUUUGGGGAGAGGAGGCAUCCAGCUAAACGGUUCUCAUGGAAACCAAGCGUACCAGUUGCAUGAGAAGGAGCUGAAGGGACCAGGAUGAGGGCUGCUUGAUCCUGACAGGUAGCUGCUAAUUAGCAAUCAAAACCUAAUUGAGAUUAACAGCUGUUUUUCUAGUACAGUUACUAACAGGGAGGCAGAAAUGGUAUGAAGAUCAUCCAAGCUCUACAAGCUGCAUUUUAACAUCAGAAACUACGAGAAUAGAGCAAUGUGCCAAGCGAGCAGGGAGAUGAAAGCGGGCCAUGAACACAGAGCUGAGCUGACAGGCCAGAGAAGGCUGGAUCCAUAGGACCAAUUAGGAUGUCUACAGGGGUGCUGGAGGCAGAUUAAAGGGGCAGGAUGCAAACAACAAUAGAGCGUCUAUUCACUGGCUGGUGUGGCCGAGCGACAGCCUGGCACUCCUGGAGAGAAGGGCACAUGGGCGGGCGCAGCUCUCUUAGCUAU